GCUCUCUGCCGGCCGUACCGCACGACAGCUGGCAGCACCGUCAGCCCCUGCUCGGGAGCUCGGAAGAUGCUCUAGCUCCGCGGCCAGUGCAGCGAACCCACCCAACCCUGGUGCAGGAGCCAUUGCAGCAAAUUGACAGGGAGUCCUCUGGGCCGGAAGUGGCCCUGGCCCUGCGCCGUAUGCUCUCUAGGACUGCAGGAGGCUCGGCAUCUCGGUGAUAGACCCAGGAAGUCAGUGGCUGGGCGGGGCGGGCUGUGAGGACUGAGGUCUGUAGCGAAGGUCCAGCCCCGUGGUCUUCGCUUCGUUCGGCAACGAACGCCCAGCGAAGGGUAAGACGAAAUGCUUCAAAGACAGGAUCCUGGAGCAGUUGCCGGGGCAACCGUGCGGCUUGGGGCGUGGCGGUGAGGGGAAAAGGGCCGGGCACAAACUUCAGCCGUGAUUGGCUGGUUCUGCUGGAGCCGCCUUUCUCCCCGCCCCGAUGCCUGAAUGGCUAAGGGCAGGGGGGCGUGGCCUCCUGGAUUCAGUCAUGCCGGCGACGGGGCCGCCGAGCGAGAGGCUGGGUCCAUGGGACCCUGCAGGCUCUGGGCUUCGCUACACGGCCGGGCCCGGGAACUGGGAGACGGUGUCCUAGGCUAGGACGGCGCUGAGGCCGACGCCCCCGGCCCAGAGGGGCAGCGCCGACAGCCGAUCCCUGAGCGCUUGCAACAGGAACCUGGGGCCGCAGGGAAGCAGGUGGGAAGCCAGGAUGCAUACAUCCUGCCUCUCCGCCUCCGCCCUCACCGUGCUCCUGACACCGCAU
rnacentral:lncRNA from 1 species